rnacentral:ncRNA from 20 species
AAGGGCGUAUAGGGGUGCGCAUUGCUGAGAGAGUGAAACUCAACCCUGUGAACUUGUACAGAUAAUGCUGUAAAAGGAAUAAGCCGAUGCGUGCA